UACGUAGGGUGCAAGCGUUAAUCGGAAUUACUGGGCGUAAAGCGCACGUAGGCGGAUUUGUAAGUCAGGGGUGAAAUCCCGGGGCUCAACCUCGGAACUGCCUUUGAUACUGCAAAUCUCGAGUCCGGAAGAGGUGAGUGGAAUUCCCUAGUGUAGAGGUGAAAUUCGUAGAUAUUAGGAAGAACACCAGUGGCGAAGGCGGCUCACUGGUCCGGUACUGACGCUGAGGCACGAAAGCGUGGGGAGCAACAGGG
rnacentral:rRNA from 1 species